CAUGCAAGUCGAACGAUGAAGCCCAGCUUGCUGGGUGGAUUAGUGGCGAACGGGUGAGUAACACGUGAGUAACCUGCCCCCGACUCUGGGAUAAGCCCGGGAAACUGGGUCUAAUACCGGAUAUGACCAUGGAACGCAUGUUUUGUGGUGGAAAGAUUUAUCGGUGGGGGAUGGACUCGCGGCCUAUCAGCUUGUUGGUGAGGUAAUGGCUCACCAAGGCGACGACGGGUAGCCGGCCUGAGAGGGUGACCGGCCACACUGGGACUGAGACACGGCCCAGACUCCUACGGGAGGCAGCAGUGGGGAAUAUUGCACAAUGGGCGAAAGCCUGAUGCAGCGACGCCGCGUGAGGGAUGACGGCCUUCGGGUUGUAAACCUCUUUCAGUAGGGAAGAAGCGAAAGUGACGGUACCUGCAGAAGAAGCGCCGGCUAACUACGUGCCAGCAGCCGCGGUAAUACGUAGGGCGCAAGCGUUAUCCGGAUUUAUUGGGCGUAAAGAGCUCGUAGGCGGUUUGUCGCGUCUGCCGUGAAAGUCCGAGGCUCAACCUCGGAUCUGCGGUGGGUACGGGCAGACUAGAGUGAUGUAGGGGAGACUGGAAUUCCUGGUGUAGCGGUGAAAUGCGCAGAUAUCAGGAGGAACACCGAUGGCGAAGGCAGGUCUCUGGGCAUUUACUGACGCUGAGGAGCGAAAGCAUGGGGAGCGAACAGGAUUAGAUACUCUGGUAG
rnacentral:rRNA from 1 species